rnacentral:lncRNA from 1 species
ACCGAGUUGUCAGAAAAAUUGAACUAUGAUCGAGAAGUGAUUCGUGUCUGGUUCUGUAACAAAAGACAAGCUUUAAAAAAUACAAUAAAGAAAUUGAAACAAGAAACACCAUGAUAAUUGUCUCAAUACCGUGGUCACAGGGUACUUAGAAAUACAUGUAAUAAGCUGUUUCUUAUUAACAGUCAAAGUAUAGAAUACAAGUCUUCAACAACCAGUGAAUAGUUAAAUUUUAUUAACUUCUAUUAAUAUCAGUUGUAGUGUUUAAAGCAUCCUGGAUUUAUUGAAGUUCAGUAGUAUACUUUGCUUUACUGGUAUAAUUAUAUUGCCCACAGAGAUAGCAGUCGAGAGAGACUUGGGAGUGCUGUUUCCAGUAUCAAAUACAUCAACAGUUGUUAAACUUUGUGAUAUAAGUAACACAGGAGGGACACAUCUCUGGACUAUCAGUUGUUUAAAUGGACUCGGAAUCUCUUUUCACUAUUUUUUUUAAUGAACAAAAGUCAUCAUUGACAAUAUACUGUUUAAUUAUCAGUUUAUAAAAAAAAUACUAUAUUUUUUUUAAUUUCACUACAUUAUUAUUUUUUCUCAAACUGCCAAAAGAAAGAACAUUUCUUUCAGUUAAAGAAAUGUAUUUUCCUAUUUUGAAAUAGUCACUUUUUCAAACUAUGAUCCUACAAUCAUAAAUUAAGAUAAUUGAUAACUACAUAGUAUUUAAUCCAAAUUUUGAUCUGCUGAUAUUUUAGAAUGACCUUAAAUGGUGAUUAGUCUCAUUCUUUGUAUGAUCACUUCCAUCAAAGUUUUAUAAAUGUAGAAACCAUAAAUAUGGGUCAGAGGCAAACAACAAAAUGUGCAAUAUCUAAGGCAUGUACUAAUAGCAUUUAUUUUUGAGUUUUAUUCAAACUAUAAGUGUAGUCUAAUGUAUGCAUCAUAUUUAAGACCUGUUUUGUAUAGGUAAACAAGCUGUGUGUUUUUUUUUUAAUUUAUUGUGUUCAGUUCUUAUGGAGCAGCUAUUAAAAUGUCACAACUUGUAAACAUCCUAAAAGGACAACAAUGUCAUCAAACAAUUACAACUUGAAAACAUUAUCCUUUAAGGACAACAAUGUCAUCAAACAAUUACAAUGUAAAAACAUUAUCCUUUAAGGACAACAAUGUCAUCAGCACAAUUAAAAAGUUUUUACUUAGUGUAUAAAUAUGUUACACUAAUGGUACAAUAGUCCCAGACUAAAAUCAUACCAAAUAUUAUUAAAACAUUUACAUGGUAAGAAUUGUCUUGCUGUGGUUAAUAGGUUGUCACAGAUAAGGUUGUCUAUGAUUAUUUAAAGUUAUAAUGUGUACUUCUAAUAUGUUACAGUAAUAUUUUGAUUAUCAAACUUUUUAUUGAAGUGGCUAAUGAAAAUGUUAAUAUUGUUUUCUUAAUAAUGAUUGAAUUUGUUUUAUCAAUUGCAAGACCAGAGUGCUUGUCCUUAUAGUAUCUGUCAACACAAAACUACGUAAUUAAAAAAAGGUGUAGGUUAAUUGAUCACCACAAUACCAUAGGUACCAUCAAAAGUAAACAGAUUAGCUAUCAGAUAUGUGACUGCUGUUGUGAGGGGGGAAUGGUAUAUGUAAUGUUCACAAGUUAAGUAGACCUUAUUGAUAUUUACUAGCUUCCCUAGAAAUGGAUACUUUUUCAAGACAUCAAAGUUGUAAUUUUAUACAGCUGUUAUCAUAAUGCUAGCAAGGUAAAGAUUUGGUUUCUUGCUUGCUUUGUUUGUAUUAAUGUUAACUCCGACUACUUAUAUAGUUUGCAGAUGUCCAUCUUUAUUACAGCGCUUAAGCAAAUUUUAAAACAAACACAGCAAGCAAGCCAAACAAACCUUUAACUUGCUAGUAUUAUGAUAACAGCUGUAAAAUACAAAAUUAUUACAUAGCAGUUGAAUGUAAACAAAUAAGUAAAGAAUUCAGCUGGAAAAAAGUAAAAGUAAAAACUGAUCCAUGGUGUUGUGUGUUUGUUAUCAGUAGAAACCUAUUAAAAUUGAUAUUUUCCAUUCUUCAGUAAAAUAACUGAAUAUGCCAUUAUUUUGUGUUCAGCAUGUUCAGUUGAUUUAGACCUAUUUGUGAUAUUAUACAUUGGUCUCAGAAAUUCUAAAAUGAAUUCAUCAAUAAGAUUGACAAUAUUAGAACAUUGUCUACAGAGAUUUUAUCGUUGUUAUUGUUGUUAGUGUUUAUAUACAUUUUAUAGUACAACAUUGUUAGAAC